GCCGGGCGUCGGCAGGGCCUCGGCUCAGAGGACCUUUGAUCCUCAGGCUCGGGGUUCGAGUCCCUGGCGGGGCAC
rnacentral:tRNA from 1 species